GUGAAGAACGUAGCGAAAUGCGAUAAGUAAUGUGAAUUGCAGAAUUCAGUGAAUCAUCGAAUCUUUGAACGCACAUUGCGCCCGCCAGUAUUCUGGCGGGCAUGCCUGUUCGAGCGUCAUUUCAACCAUCAAGCCCCGGGCUUGUGUUGGGGACCUGCGGCUGCCGCAGGCCCUGAAAUGCAGUGGCGGGCUCGCUGUCACUCCGAGCGUAGUAAUACAUCUCGCUCUGGACGUGCUGCGGGUUCCGGCCGUUAAAAGCCUUAUUUACCCAAGGUUGACCUCGGAUCAGGUAGGAAGACCCGCUGAACUUAAGCAUAUCAAUAAGCGGAGGA
rnacentral:misc_RNA from 1 species